GCUCCGGUGGCCUAGUGGUUAGAGCGUCCGCCUCGGAUGCAGGAGGUUGCAGGUUCGAACCCCAGCUGAGUCA